rnacentral:misc_RNA from 1 species
UCCUGGAAUUUCUUCACCCUUCAUCUCAUGCUCUUGUUGGAUCAUUUUAGUUGCUUCUUCAACCAAGAUUUUGUCAACAACAGCUUGUUGAAGGCCUUCAAUUUUUUCUUUUUCUGUGCUGAUUGUUUCAUUUUGUGUUGUCUUUGUCAACACCUCUUCUCCUAUGCUUUCUUCUCCCUUGAUCUCAUGUUGAUGGUGGAUCUCUUCCGUUGCUUCUUCACUUGAGAUAUUGUCAACAAUAGCUUGGUGAAGGUUCUCAACAUUUUCUUUUUCUGUACUGAUCUGCUUUUGAAUGGUCUCACUUGCAUCAGUUUUCAUAAUUUCCUUGCAUAAAACUUCAGUUUGCAUUUCCUCUGCUAACAC